CAGUCGCCACGGUAAUACGUAGGGUGCAAGCGUUAAUCGGAAUUACUGGGCGUAAAGCGUGCGCAGGCGGUUUUGUAAGUCUGUCGUGAAAUCCCCGGGCUCAACCUGGGAAUGGCGAUGGAGACUGCAAGGCUGGAAUCUGGCAGAGGGGGGUAGAAUUCCACGUGUAGCAGUGAAAUGCGUAGAUAUUCGCAAGAACACCGGUGGCGAAGGCGGCUCACUGGUCCGGAACUGACGCUGAGGCACGACAGCGUGGGGAGCAAACAGGAUUAGAUACCCCAGUAGUCCCUGUCUCUUAUAC
rnacentral:rRNA from 1 species